AACUAAUUUUUAGGUAGAGAAUUUAACGAAACAUUGGUAAUUCGGGGUAAUUUGGAGGUGUGCCCUAGUUACAAAAUACUUGUAAAUAUUGUAUGGAACAACAAACAAAUUACCUGUUUCCAUAAAGUGUUGGAUGAUAAUCGAGCAUCCCUAAUUAUAAGGCUGUAUCCCUUAUGAUAGGGGUAUUUUCACCAUGCGUAUCCCUCUAUUUACAGCAAUUUAAUAUUAUUUGUAUUUAUUAUUAUUUUAUUUUAUUUUCUAGUAAUAAUAAACGAAUAAAAUUAUCAGAA